CCUACGGGAGGCAGCAGUGGGGAAUAUUGCGCAAUGGGGGAAACCCUGACGCAGCAACGCCGCGUGAGUGAGGAAGGACUUCGGUCUGUAAAGCUCUGUUAAUGAGGAAAAAAUGGUAGUUGGUCUAAUAGGCCGAUUAUUUGAUGGUACUCAUAGAGGAAGCACCGGCUAACUUCGUGCCAGCAGCCGCGGUAAUACGAAGGGUGCAAGCGUUGUUCGGAUUUAUUGGGCGUAAAGCGCGCGUAGGCGGACCUGCAAGUAAGAUGUGAAAUCUCGAGGCUCAACCUCGAAACUGCGUCUUAAACUACAGGUCUAGAAUCUCGGAGGGGGAAGGGGAAUUUCGCAUGUAGGGGUAAAAUCCGUAGAUAUGCGAAGGAACACCAGAGGCGAAGGCGCCUUCCUGGACGAGUAUUGACGCUGAGGCGCGAAAGCGUGGGGAUCAAACAGGAUUAGAUACCCUGGUAGUCCACGCUGUAAACGAUGAACACUAGGUAUUGGAGGAUUUGACCCCUUCAGUGCCGUAGCUAACGCGUUAAGUGUUCCGCCUGGGAAGUCGGUCGCAAGCUAAAACUCAAAGAGUAGUACGCGNGNGAGAGCGACGACGACGACGACGGAGGAGGAG
rnacentral:rRNA from 1 species